rnacentral:tRNA from 1 species
GCGCGGUGGCGAAGAGGCUAACGCCGCGGUCUGCAAAACCGCUAUUCGCCGGUUCAAAUCCGGCCCGCGCCUCCAG